AAGAGGAGAAGCACUUUGCCGGCGCAACUUUGACGAGUAAAUUGGUGACCCCUACACCUUUUGCAAUGAUGAGGCCCGAGAUAAGUGCCUCGUACUCCGGCUCAUUGUUGGUGGUAGGGAAGGUCAAGACUAGAGCGUAAUUCAGCGGCUCCCCUUCCGGUGGGAUUAAGACACAUGAUGCCCGUGCAGUGGAGGACCCAUCAGUCAUUAAGAUCCAUGGCUUGUCUGUAGGUUGCCUUGCCUAUAAAGGCUCCACAUCCCCACCGGUGACUUCACUAAUAAAAUCUGCCAAGGCCUGAGCCUUGAUUGCUGUCCUCGCCUCUCGGUUUAUCCAUCUACCUCCGCCUAAGCUUCCGAGCAAGGAUUGAGUUCCAUCUACGGCUUGGCUUCCGGGCCUUGAAGUGUGUUUCUCUCGGCUUUGCGAGGCCGUGAUCCAUACCACUUGAGUCUUCCGGGAUUCGCAAUGGCUGGACCUAUUAAAUUGGCUUUAGGGCAAAUUUCAUGGUUUUGGGCUUAAACUACGCGCACGUGUUGGGAGAAUCAAAAUGGCCUUACCCUCGUGGGCAUGACAACGUUUGAUCAACUAAUAGCUACACAUACGUCUCUAUGCAUAUCGUCAAGGAAACCCAGCUGUCGGUUAGACUUGUGGAUGUCCUAGACGUGGCACUCAAUGUUCUUUUCCGGUGAGGAAGGUACCUAAACUGGAAAGGACAAGACGAAAGCUCCCCCCAUGAACAAAGAUAGGCUCAUAAUUAAGCAAGAUGUUCCGACAAGGAGAGUCUGUUAUCAUCGUACUUAGGAACCAAAAGUAACUUGCGAGCGAUCUCCCUUAUCUUUUCAUUUGAUGAGUAGAUGUUUAGAUACUAAGACUUGUUGCUCGAGGAUCUGUAGUAUGCUUUUACGUUGUUGUUUGUGAGUGAACUCUGUACCUUCUUAUAUUAUUAGUGGGAUUGACUCGUGCGAUGCACGGAUAUAAAAUUUUAGAACUAUAACUUCUCUAUCAUGUAAAUUUUUCAUUCUUUUAUGACGAUGAUGAUGAUAAUGCCACUUAUUGUAAAAAGA